UACGUAGGGGGCAAGCGUUAUCCGGAUUUACUGGGUGUAAAGGGAGCGUAGGCGGGAUAGUAAGUUGAUUGUUAAAACUAUCGGCUCAACUGGUAGAUGCGAUCAAAACUGCAAUUCUUGAGUGAAGUAGAGGCAGGCGGAAUUCCUAGUGUAGCGGUGAAAUGCGUAGAUAUUAGGAGGAACACCAGUGGCGAAGGCGGCCUGCUGGGCUUUAACUGACGCUGAGGCUCGAAAGUGUGGGUAGCAAACAGG
rnacentral:rRNA from 1 species